rnacentral:lncRNA from 1 species
UGUUGACUCUGCACUUCCUGUCUGAGUGGUGCUAUGAAGGGCGAGGGGGAGCUGUGCCGUGGGUGUGUUUGUUCUGAUAUUCUGAGGCUGUCUUCAGUCUCUUUCUAUGAACUAUUCUACCAUGCUGCAAUUCAAGCUGCUGCUUGCGUGGAAGCACAAGGAGUCCUUGAGGGCAGAGGAAGACAUUACCUCACUCUUUAAGAACUCAUUUAACUGUCCAGGCUGGUUCUGACAGUUGUUUUUUGACUAUUAGAGACACCGAGUUAGAAAUCCCAUCUCCUCAGCAUUAAGAAUGGCUUUGUAAUUAUUUCUCAGACUUUGAGAGAGAUUCAAUACUAUAGAGGAAGGAAAACAUAGCAUGCUAAAAAGUCUUCAAAAAGGUUGGGAACAAAUCUCAAUGUUUUCUGCCCAUCCAGCCAACUCAGCUCACGGUCACUUUUUGUCUUGAGGGAGAGCCUGUGGUUAAGGCACGCGAAUAACUGCAUUAGCAGACGGCAGCAGGCUGAAAACACGAGGAAGAGGAGAAAUUCCAAAGUCCAAUGGAUUCCUGAAAUCCUUCAGUGGUGGUGAGGGCUGAGGACAAAGGUUGAGCAGCAUUCCUGCGGGCGGUGAGCGCGGCAGAGUGAGCAGCUGCUUCUCACAAGGAUUGGAAGUGGAUGCAUUUGUCCCUUCUGCAUGCAGGAAACCUCAGCAAAAUGCCGCUGCUCCGUGGAAGGGAGAUGCUUGCUCCAAAGGUGAGGAUCCCUAACGAACAAUUAAG